UACGAAGGGGGCUAGCGUUGCUCGGAAUCACUGGGCGUAAAGCGCACGUAGGCGGCUUCCUAAGUCAGGGGUGAAAUCCUGGAGCUCAACUCCAGAACUGCCUUUGAUACUGGGAAUCUUCGAGUCCGGGAGAGGUGAGUGGAACUGCGAGUGUAGAGGUGAAAUUCGUAGAUAUUCGCAAGAACACCAGUGGCGAAGGCGGCUCACUGGCCCGGUACUGACGCUGAGGUGCGAAAGCGUGGGGAGCAAACAGG
rnacentral:rRNA from 1 species